AAACCAGGGGCAGAACUUCCUUGCUUGACUGUGCCAAGGGAUGGUGUGCAAGAAGGGGCAGCGUGUGAGGAGCUGUGCCCGCACGAGGUGUCCCCGGAAAGCCGCCUGAAGCACGAUGGCUGCCUGGUGGGAGAGGAGAGAGGAAACAGAUGUGAAUUUCCUUGGGAGAUGGCAGUUUCAGAUGGAAGAAAUUUCCAGAGGGAAACACAGUAACAGUAGAGAAAAUGACUGCCCUUACUAUUGCACAGUCACAGACCGUGCUACAAGAACCUUUCUCUCUCACCCGAAAUCUCCAGUCAGGAGCACACCACUGCUCUGGAAAGAAAAACACACAGGUACCUGUUCCCUCAGUAAAUGGAUGCUUGGAAUAUAAAUGAAUUAUCCAUUCAAAGCAAUUAAAUUUAGCUGUUAAUACUAGUCCAUGUUUUACACAGUUAUCUUUUCACAGUAGAAUGGUUUAUUCUACUUUCAUGUACUUUUCAUAUGUUGUUGCUGUUGUUAGGUGCCGUCAAAUCGAUUCUGAAAGAAUUAGUUGAUUGUGACACAGCAGAACUGCCCAUAGGGUUUCCUAAGCUGUCACCUUUAUGGAACCGGACUGCGACACCUUUCUCCUGAGGAGGUGCUAGGUAGGUUUGAACCAUCAACUUUUCGGUUAGCAGCCGAGUGCUUAAUUGUUGCACCCCCAGGGCAGGGUAUAGCAGAAUCCCUAGAGCUAUGGCAAUAAAAUUAUUUACCCUUUGACCUUAAUCCUAAAUGAUUUUCCUAAGGAAUAUACAUAGAUGCUCUCUCUAAGUUCUGAAAUCAAUGUUCUGUGGACAGCACUUUUUUUCCGUAAGUCAAUUCUGAGUGAUCCUACUUCUAGUGUUGGUUAAAAAUACCACAGCUUGACAAAGGACUCACGGCUCUUUUAACAUUUUAAGAGAACAAUAAGCAUCACAUUGAGUGCAGAUAAAACAUAAGCUUAGAGGUCUAGACGCUUCUAUAUUAACUACCAAAAAAAAAACAAAAACAAACUUCG